rnacentral:rRNA from 1 species
UACGGGGGGGGCAAGCGUUGUUCGGAAUUACUGGGCGUAAAGGGCUCGUAGGCGGCCAACUAAGUCAGACGUGAAAUCCCUCGGCUUAACCGGGGAACUGCGUCUGAUACUGGAUGGCUUGAGAUUGGGAGAGGGAUGCGGAAUUCCUGGUGUAGCGGUGAAAUGCGUAGAUAUCUGGAGGAACACCGGUGGCGAAGGCGGCAUCCUGGACAAACACUGACGCUGAGGAGCGAAAGCCAGGGGAGCAA